UACGAAGGGGGCUAGCGUUGCUCGGAAUCACUGGGCGUAAAGCGCACGUAGGCGGCUUUCUAAGUCAGGGGUGAAAUCCUGGAGCUCAACUCCAGAACUGCCUUUGAUACUGGAGAGCUCGAGUCCGGAAGAGGUGAGUGGAACUGCGAGUGUAGAGGUGAAAUUCGUAGAUAUUAGGAAGAACACCAGUGGCGAAGGCGGCUCACUGGCCCGGUACUGACGCUGAGGCGCGAAAGCGUGGGGAGCAAACAGG
rnacentral:rRNA from 1 species